GAGCAGUGUGACGACUGGAUUACAUGUGAACACAUCAGGACUUUCAGCAGUUGGUUGGAAACACGUCUCAGAGGUGACACCACUGUUUGUGAUGAGCUGUACUCGUUGUCCAGGGGACCAUCUUCGACUGUAUUGACUUACAAAGGAUACGAGAUAAUUGUGAAUACAUUUUACACGAUCGCCCAAGAUCAAAAGAGCACCAACCAAAACAGCGGUGUCCGCUUUGAUGCAGCAACCGAGAGGGGAAAGGACACAUAUUAUGGUUACAUAAUGGACAUAUGGGAACUUGACUACGGACAUGAUUUUAAGGUCCCUUUGUUUAAGUGCAAAUGGGUCAAUCUGUCAGGAGGCGGGGUAUAG
rnacentral:rRNA from 1 species